rfam:Stegodyphus mimosarum contig70676, whole genome shotgun sequence.
GCUUUCGUGGUGUAGUGGUCAACACACUUGGUGCAUAUUCGAGAGGUCUGUGGUUCGAGUCCCGGCGAGGGCA